UACGGGGGGGGCAAGCGUUGCUCGGAAUUACUGGGCGUAAAGGGCGCGUAGGCGGUUGGAUAAGUCAGCUGUGAAAACCACGGGCUUAACUCGUGGCCUGCAGUUGAGACUGUCUGGCUUGAGUGUGGGAGAGGAGAGUGGAAUUCCUGGUGUAGCGGUGAAAUGCGUAGAUAUCAGGAGGAACACCGGUGGCGAAGGCGGCUCUCUGGACCACAACUGACGCUGAGGCGCGAAAGCUAGGGGAGCAAACAGG
rnacentral:rRNA from 1 species